rnacentral:tRNA from 1 species
GGGAGUAGAGCUCAGUGGUAGAGCUCUUGCUUGGCAUGCAUGAGGUGUUGGGUUUGAUCCCCAGCACUGCAA